rnacentral:rRNA from 1 species
UCAUACUCGUGGCGCAUAGCUCAGCAACACGUGGCCAAACUACCCUUCGGAGCUCCAUACCCUCGGGAAACUGAGGCUAAUAGAGCAUCCCACAGUUCACCUGGAACGAGAACCGUGCCAAACGCUUCGGCGCCGAAGGACGUGGCUGCGGCCGAUUAGGUAGACGGUGGGGUAACGGCCCACCGUGCCAAUAAUCGGUACGGGUGGUGAGAGCCAGAACCCGGAGACGGAAUCUGAGACAAGAUUCCGGGCCCUACGGGGCGCAGCAGGCGCGAAACCUUUACACUGCACGCCAGUGCGAUAGGGGGAUCCCAAGUGCACAGGCAUAGUGCCUGUGCUUUUCGACACCCUAAGAUGGUGUCAGAAUAAGGGCUGGGCAAGACCGGUGCCAGCCGCCGCGGUAAUACCGGCAGCCCGAGUGAUGGCCGAUCUUAUUGGGCCUAAAGCGUCCGUAGCUGGCCGCGCAAGUCCAUCGGAAAAUCCACCCGCUCAACGGGUGGGCGACCGGUGGAAACUGCGUGGCUUGGGACCGGAAGGCGCGACGGGUACGUCCGGGGUAGGAGUGAAAUCCUGUAAUCCCGAACGGACCGCCGAUGGCGAAAGCACGUCGCGAAAACGGAUCCGACAGUGAGGGACGAAAGCCAGGGUCUCGAACCGGAUUAGAUACCCGGGUAGUCCUGGCCGUAAACAAUGUCUGCUAGGUGUGGCUCCCACUACGAGUGGGUGCUGUGCCGCAGGGAAGCCG